rnacentral:RNase_P_RNA from 1 species
UCUGCAUGCAGAGGUAAGGGUGAAACGGCGGUGUAAGAGACCACCGCUUUCCGGGUGACCGGAAAGGCUAAGGUAAACCCCACUGGGAGCAAGGCCAGACAGGGCACGUUUGAGGGCUGCUCGCCCGAGUGUCCGGGUAGGCUGCUAGAGGGCGUCGGCAACGGCGUCCGUAGAUGGAUGAUCGUCGCUUCUAUGCUGGUAACGGCGUAGUAAGACAGAACCCGGCGUACAGGUUGCCCCAUCCG